GACGAACGCUGGCGGCGUGCCUAAUACAUGCAAGUUGAGCGAUGAAGCUUGGUGCUUGCACCAAUUUGAAGAGCAGCGAACGGGUGAGUAACGCGUGGGGAAUCUGCCUUUGAGCGGGGGACAACAUUUGGAAACGAAUGCUAAUACCGCAUAACAACUUUAAGCAUAAGUUUUAAGUUUGAAAGAUGCAAUUGCAUCACUCAAAGAUGAUCCCGCGUUGUAUUAGCUAGUUGGUGAGGUAAAGGCUCACCAAGGCGAUGAUACAUAGCCGACCUGAGAGGGUGAUCGGCCACAUUGGGACUGAGACACGGCCCAAACUCCUACGGGAGGCAGCAGUAGGGAAUCUUCGGCAAUGGACGAAAGUCUGACCGAGCAACGCCGCGUGAGUGAAGAAGGUUUUCGGAUCGUAAAACUCUGUUGGUAGAGAAGAACGUUGGUGAGAGUGGAAAGCUCAUCAAGUGACGGUAACUACCCAGAAAGGGACGGCUAACUACGUG
rnacentral:rRNA from 1 species